UACGGAGGGGGCUAGCGUUGUUCGGAAUUACUGGGCGUAAAGCGCACGUAGGCGGCUUUGUAAGUUAGAGGUGAAAGCCCGGAGCUCAACCCCGGAAUUGCCUUUAAGACUGCAUCGCUAGAAUUGUGGAGAGGUGAGUGGAAUUCCGAGUGUAGAGGUGAAAUUCGUAGAUAUUCGGAAGAACACCAGUGGCGAAGGCGACUCACUGGACACAUAUUGACGCUGAGGUGCGAAAGCGUGGGGAGCAAACAGG
rnacentral:rRNA from 1 species